rfam:Columba livia unplaced genomic scaffold scaffold172, whole genome shotgun sequence.
UGAAAGGUUUUUUUCAAAACCCCAUCUGUUUUUACUUAAGAAAAUGG